CGGCUCCCCGGCUUCCCCGCCCGCGCCUCCCGGGUUCGCCGGCGCCGUGAGAGACAUUGUAACGGAACUGGGACGCCAGCGCUGCAUUGUGGGAGCUUUUAAAGCGGCGGGGAACGUGGCCCGGCCGCUCGGGCCCACCGGGCCAAGCUCACCCCGGCGCCCCUAGCACGGCCCCGCCGCCAAUCGUUCCACCACACACCCCACACCGCCGAGGCCUGUGGACCGGAAAGCCCGAAGUGGUGAGGUGACCGGUGCCUACUGACUCUCACAGGAGCACAGUCUUCCAUAGCCCGGGGUGAGACUUGUAAAACUGCCCUCUACGGUCAUCCCGGAAAGUAGGAGGCUUUUUCUGCAGACGCUUAAAGAAAAAGAAAAAAAAAAAAAAAAGCCCUUCCAUCCCCCAAGAACUGGGUUUGAAUUGCUUUUCCUCUGGAGUGGCAGUGAUUCAGCGACCCCGUUCUCAGCAGCAGGCAGUGACAGAGACAGGAGACGAAAAACACAGCGAAUGAAUCAGACAGGCUAUCCCUGGCCGGAGACUCCCUGGCUGUCCCCUAUUUAGCCAGCUGGAAUGGCGACACCCGGAGCCCUGCAAGCCAACAGCUGAUGGCAGAGCUGCUCCCUGCCUGGGCGUCCAACGGCUGACUGGAGCAGAGUUGCCCACCAAGCUGGAAUGCUUAUCUUGCACUGUUAACUGGGAGACAAAUAAACUUCAUUGUUCUUUGAACCACUGAA